rnacentral:rRNA from 1 species
GACGAACCGUGCAAACGUUGUUCGGAUUCACUGGGCUUAAAGGGCGCGUAGGCGGGUGGUCAAGUCAGGGGUGAAAUCCUCCAGCUCAACUGGAGAACAGCUUUUGAUACUGGCCAUCUUGAGGGAGGUAGGGGGCAUGUGGAACUUCCGGUGGAGCGGUGAAAUGCGUAGAUAUCGGAAGGAACGCCGGUGGCGAAAGCGACGUGCUGGACCUUUUCUGACGCUGAGGCGCGAAAGCCAGGGGAGCAAACGGG